ACGGGACCCGCACAAGCAGCGGAGCGUGUGGUUUAAUUCGAUGCUACACGAAGAACCUUACCAGGGUUUGACAUGCAAGUGGUAGGAACCGAAAGGCGACCGACCCUUCGGGGAGCUUGCACAGGUGCUGCAUGGCUGUCGUCAGCUCGUGUCGUGAGAUGUUCGGUUAAGUCCGCUAACGAGCGCAACCCUCGCUGUGUGUUACAAGUGUCACACGGUACUGCCGGUCUUAAGCCGGAGGAAGGUGGGGAUGACGUCAAGUCAGCAUGGCCUUUAUGUCCUGGGCUACACACACGCUACAAUGGCCAACACAAUAGGUUGCUAAGCCGCGAGGUGGAGCCAAUCCUCAAAGUUGGUCUCAGUUCAGAUUGCAGGCUGCAACCCGCCUGCAUGAAGAUGGAGUUGCUAGUAACCGCAGGUCAGCUAUACUGCGGUGAAUACGUUCCCGGGGCUU
rnacentral:rRNA from 1 species